rnacentral:rRNA from 1 species
UACGUAGGGUGCGAGCGUUGUCCGGAAUUAUUGGGCGUAAAGAGCUCGUAGGCGGUGUGUCGCGUCGGCCGUGAAAACCUGCAGCUUAACUGUGGGCUUGCGGUCGAUACGGGCAUCACUGGAGUUCGGCAGGGGAGACUGGAAUCCCUGGUGUAGCGGUGAAAUGCGCAGAUAUCAGGAGGAACACCGGUGGCGAAGGCGGGUCUCUGGGCCGAUACUGACGCUGAGGAGCGAAAGCGUGGGGAGCGAACAGG